rnacentral:rRNA from 1 species
CCUACGGGAGGCAGCAGUGAGGAAUAUUGGUCAAUGGACGAGAGUCUGAACCAGCCAAGUAGCGUGAAGGAUGACUGCCCUAUGGGUUGUAAACUUCUUUUAUAUGGGAAUAAAAUGUUCCACGUGUGGGAUUUUGUAUGUACCAUAUGAAUAAGGAUCGGCUAACUCCGUGCCAGCAGCCGCGGUAAUACGGAGGAUCCGAGCGUUAUCCGGAGUUAGUGGGUUUAAAGGGAGCGUAGGUGGAUUGUUAAGUCAGUUGUGAAAGUUUUCGGCUCAACCGUAAAAUUGCAGUUGAAACUGGCAGUCUUGAGUACAGUAGAGGUGUGCGGAAUUCGUGGUGUAGCGGUGAAAUGCUUAGAUAUCACGAAGAACUCCGAUUGCGAAGGCAGCUCACUGGACUGCAACUGACACUGAGGCUCGAAAGUGUGGGUAUCAAACAGGAUUAGAUACCCUUGUAGUC